rnacentral:rRNA from 1 species
UACGUAGGGGGCUAGCGUUGUCCGGAAUCAUUGGGCGUAAAGAGCGUGUAGGCGGCCCGGUAAGUCCGCUGUGAAAGUCGGGGGCUCAACCUCGAAUGCCGGUGGAUACUGUCGGGCUAGAGUGCGGAAGAGGCGAGUGGAAUUCCUGGUGUAGCGGUGAAAUGCGCAGAUAUCAGGAGGAACACCAAUGGCGAAGGCAGCUCGCUGGGACGUGACUGACGCUGAGACGCGAAAGCGUGGGGAGCGAACAGG